GGUUGAUUCUGGCUCAGAUUGAACGCUGUAGGAUGCUGCAUGCAGUCGAACGGCAGCACGGACUUCGAUUCUGGUGGCGAGUGGCGAACAGGGUGGUAAUGUAUCGGAACGUGCCUGCAACAGCGGGGAUAACUACAUGAAGACGUAAGCUAAUACCACCUGCACUUCGGGGAAAGCGGGGACCUUCGGGCCUCGCACUAUUAGAGCGGCGAUAUCGGGAUUAAGCUGGAUUGGUGAACUAACAGCUCACCAAGGCGACGGUCGUAGCUGGUUUGGACGACCAGCCACACUGGGACUGAGACACGGCCCAGACUCACACAGGAGGUAACCAGUGAAGAAUUUUGGACAAUGGGGAAACCCUGAUCCAGCCAUCCCGCGUGUGCGAUGAAGGCCUUCGGGUUGUAAAGCCUUUUGGCAGGAAAAGCUUGGCACGGAUAAUACCCCGUGCAAUGACAGUACCUGCAGAAUAAGCACCGGCUAACUACGUGCCAGCAGCCGCGGUAAUACAUGGGAGUGCAAGCGUUAAUCGGAAUUACUAGAUAAAGCAUGCGCAGGCAGUUCGUGGAAAGAAGAUGUAAAUCGACUAACUUUGGAGCUGCAUUUUUAACUACCGAGCUAGAGUGUGUGUCAGAGGGAGGUGGAAUUCCGCGUGUAGCAGUGAAAUGCGUAGAUAUGCGGAGGAACACCGAUGGCGAAGGCAGCCUCCUGAAUAAACACUGACGCUCAUGCGCGAAAACCGGUAGAAGACGAAACCGGAUUGAUCUUCUGGUGAUCGCCUAAAACGAUGUCAACUAGCUGUUGGGGCCUUCGGGCCUUGGUAUGCAACUAACAGCGUGAGAUUCAUUGCCGCAAGAGAGUACGGUCGCAAGAUUAAGCUCAAAGGAUUCGACUGGACCACACAAGCGGUGGAUGAUGUGGAUUAAUUCGGUGCAACGCGAAGCCUUACCACCCUUGACAUGUCUGGGUCCCGAAGAGAUUUGGGAGUGCUCGCAAGAGAACCGGAACACAGGUGCUGCAUGGCUGUCGUCAGCUCGUGUCGUGAGAUGUUUGAUUCGAUCACCGCAACGAACGCAACCUUGUCAUUAGUUGCUACGAAAGGGCACUCUAAUGAGACUGCCGAGUACAAACCGGAGGAAGGUGGGGAUGACGUCAAGUCUCUAUGUGGCCCUUAUGGGUAGGGCUUCACACGUCAUACAAUGGUCGGGACAGAGGGUCGCCAACCCGCGAGGGAGCCAAUCCCAGAAGCUCCGAGUGUGAUCCCGGAUCGCAGUCUGCAACUCGACUGCGUGAACGUCGGAAUCGCUAGUAAUCGCGGAUCAGCAUGUCGCGGUGAAUACGUUCCAGAUUCAUGUGCAAUACCUGCAUGGGAGUGGGUUUUACCAAGAAGUAGUUAGCCUAACCGUAAGGGCGAUUACACCGGUAGGAUUCAUGACUGGGGUGAAGUCGUAACAAGGUAA
rnacentral:rRNA from 1 species